AUUGAACGCUGGCGGCAGGCUUAACACAUGCAAGUCGAGCGAGCGGCGGAAGGGUGAGUAAUGUCUGGGAACCUGCCUGCUGGGGGGGGAUAACUACUGGAAACGGUAGCUAAUACCGCAUACCAUCAGAUGUGCCAAGAUGGGAUUAGCUAGUAGGUGGGGUAAUGGCUCACCUAGGCGACGAUCCCUAGCUGGUCUGAGAGGAUGACCAGCAACACUGGAACUGAGACACGGUCCAGACUCCUACGGGAGGCAGAAGUGGGGAAUAUUGCACAAUGGGCGCAAGCCUGAUGCAGCCAUGCCGCGGGUGUGAAGAAGGCGUUCGGGUUGUAAAGCACUUUCAGCGAGGAGGCGUUACUCGCAGAAGAAGCACCGGCUAACUCCGUGCCAGCAGCCGCGGUAAUAC
rnacentral:rRNA from 1 species